rnacentral:rRNA from 1 species
UCGAGCGCGAAAAGCAGUAAUGCUGAGUAGAGCGGCGCACGGGUGAGUAACACGUAACUGACCUACCCAGAACAUCGGGAUAACCACUCGAAAGGGUGGCUAAUACUGGAUAAGCCCACGUCCUUGGGGAUGAGGGAAAAUGAUUGGGACCAGAGAUGGCCAAUCGGUUUUGGCAGGGGUUGCGGCCCAUCAGCUAGUUGGCGGGGUAACGGCCCACCAAGGCGAAGACGGGUAGCUGGUCUGAGAGGAUGAUCAGCCACACUGGAACUGAGACACGGUCCAGACUCCUACGGGAGGCAGCAGUGGGGAAUCUUGCGCAAUGGGCGAAAGCCUGACGCAGCAACGCCGCGUGGGUGAUGAAGGUCUUCGGAUCGUAAAGCCCUGUCGAAGGGGAAGAUGUGGUGGAAGUCGAACAGGCUUUCAUUGUGACGGUACCCUUAAAGGAAGCACCGGCUAACUCUGUGCCAGCAGCCGCGGUAAUACAGAGGGUGCAAGCGUUGUUCGGAAUUAUUGGGCGUAAAGGGAGUGUAGGCGGUUUGGUAAGUUGGAUGUGAAAGCCCCGGGCUCAACCUGGGAACUGCAUCCAAAACUGCCUGACUAGAGUACGGUAGAGGGUGGUGGAAUUUCCUGUGUAGCGGUGAAAUGCGUAGAUAUAGGAAGGAACACCAGUGGCGAAGGAG